rnacentral:rRNA from 1 species
GUGGGGAAUAUUGGACAAUGGGCGAAAGCCUGAUCCAGCCAUGCCGCGUGUGUGAAGAAGGUCUUCGGAUUGUAAAGCACUUUAAGUUGGGAGGAAGGGCAGUACGUUAAUACCUUGCUGUUUUGACGUUACCGACAGAAUAAGCACCGGCUAACUUCGUGCCAGCAGCCGCGGUAAUACGAAGGGUGCAAGCGUUAAUCGGAAUUACUGGGCGUAAAGCGCGCGUAGGUGGUUUUGUAAGUUGGAGGUGAAAUCCCCGGGCUCAACCUGGGAACUGCCUCCAAAACUGCAUGACUAGAGUACGGUAGAGGGUAGUGGAAUUUCCUGUGUAGCGGUGAAAUGCGUAGAUAUAGGAAGGAACACCAGUGGCGAAGGCGACUACCUGGACUGAUACUGACACUGAGGUGCGAAAGCGUGGGGAGCAAACAGGAUUAGAUACCCUAGUAGUCC